rnacentral:tRNA from 1 species
UAGCUCCGUUGGUUAGAGCGUGGUGCUGAUAACACCAAGGUUGCGGGUUCGAUCCCCGC